rnacentral:rRNA from 1 species
GGAACCCCUAACACAUNCAAGUCGAGCGAGGUAGCAAUACCUAGCGGCAGACGGGUGCGUAACAUGUGGGAUUNUNCCUUUGGUUCGGAAUAACACGGGGAAACCUGUGCUAAUACCGGAUAAGUCCUUACGGAGAAAGUUUUAAUGCCAAAAGAUGAGCCCGCAUUUGAUUAGUUUGUUGGUGAGGUAAUGGCUCACCAAGACUACAAUCAAUAGCUGAUUUGAGAGGAUGAUCAGCCACACUGGGACUGAGAUACGGCCCAGACUCCUACGGGAGGCAGCAGUGGGGAAUCUUGCACAAUGGGCGAAAGCCUGAUGCAGCGAUGCCGCGUGAGUGAAGAAGGCCCUUGGGUUGUAAAGCUCUUUUGUCGGGAAAGAUAAUGACUGUACCCG